UGGCUUUCCAUCAUCAUCAAUCUAUAAAAAUACAAAUAAUCUUUAUAUUAAUUUUUUUCCAAACUCAUCCCAUACUUACAUGAUUUUUCACAUCCAUCUUGGUUUUUUCUUUAAAAAAAAUGGCGCAAAGCCCAUUUAGUGUUGGAAAUAGGCCAACACAUGUGGCUGUUGAGCAUUAACAUUGUGCUGUUAAGCACCUGUUAAGCAUGUACAAAUCUUUACCUUCUACCAUGUAGCAUGGUAGCGAUGCCUUACCGCACCCUUAAGCUGAGCGCCUUGGAGUUGGCUCAGCUACUAGAGUUCCAGGAAAUUGAUCUGUGCAAACCACCAGUACUGACUCGCAUUCUGUCCGUGAUGGUGAAACACAAGGCGUUGGCAAAUGAAGCAGCUUCAGUAAGCAGUGACCUUAAGCAACUGAUUCUACUGUACGCCUCCAGAUAGGAGGCAGCACUAGCUCAUGGUGCCAGCAACCGACGCAACCGAGGAUCGCGCAUCUCAGCAGCUGCUGAUUUUAGGCAAAAGAAGCUGAUGCGCAUAGGAUCAAUCUCCAGUUGGGCUGAAUUCUCUGGCUCUUAGCGCUCCGUCAACUCGGAAUCCCACAUUGGUAGCAGUGAUUCGAACUAUUCUUCAUCCCACUACAAUGGCGCUCAAGGGGACGUGGCUUGCGGAUCAGCAACAUUGUGCAGGCCCAGAUCGAACAACUCUUCACGGCCCACAGUGGGCGAUUUGGUCCCGCUAGCGGCAUUUAAUUAAUAACUUCUAAACUAAAAUAGAUUUUUCAGUCGGUUUUUUUCACUGAUCAGAAACAAAUCAUAGAAUUUUUUAAGUUAACAAAUUUUUUUUUUUAAUUUUUUUUUAUUUUUUUUUUUUAAUUAAAAAUUUUUUUUUUAAAAUUAAAAUUUUUUUUAAAUUUUAUUUUAUUUAAACUUCAAUUAACAUAUUUCAUAAAUAAACUUUAUCUAAAAAAGGCCAUAAAUAAACUUUGUUCCUGGCUUCAAGAGCUUCCUCGGGCAUCAUACCAAUUGGAAGGCAAAAAUGGCUUAUAAUAUCUGCUCCAUGAAUUAAAAUUCUGUGAACAGAAGAUGGCAUAUAAAACCAGGAAUAUGAUUUUACAAACAAUUCGGCAGUUUGCAAUGCGUAAGACCGGAAUGCGACCGAAUUUAUUUCGUGGCAGCAUGCUAGUGUUCGUAAGACCUCACUGAAUCGAUGUAUUAAAUUAUAGCUUACUCCUGUUAUACGAGCAGCCAAAUUUGGUUGUUUGAAAAACCUCCUUGCAGUGUUUUUGUUAUUCGUACUGCCAGCAGUAGCAAUUGGUAUAUCUACCAGCAAAUGAAUCUCUUCCCUCAGCUUCUGCUGAAUAAUUCUUUUAUUUUCAUCGACAACAUCUUUGUCAACACCACGAGCUUGCCACUUUUGAAUCGGAAUUCUAUAUGCAAUGUGCAAAACACAGUCGAAAAACCUAAUCCAGGCGUGAAGACUUGAUAACCCAUAUUCAAAGAGGUUUUCAUUAAUAGACAAGCUCUUCACCAAAUUCAGAUCGUUCAUAUUCUUAGGAGU